GAUCCCUAGCUGGUCUGAGAGGAUGAUCAGCCACACUGGAACUGAGACACGGUCCAGACUCCUACGGGAGGCAGCGGGGGGGAAUAUUGCAAAAUGGGCGCGAGGCUGAUGCAGCCAUGCCGGGUGUAUGAAGAAGGCCUUCGGGGUGUAAAGUACUUUCAGUCGUGAGGAAGGUAGUGUAGUUAAUAGCUGCAUUAUUUGACGU
rnacentral:rRNA from 1 species